AGUGAACGCUGGCGGUAUGCCUAACACAUGCAAGUCGAACGGCAGCACAGUAAGAGCUUGCUCUUACGGGUGGCGAGUGGCGGACGGGUGAGGAAUACAUCGGAAUCUACUUUUUCGUGGGGGAUAACGUAGGGAAACUUACGCUAAUACCGCAUACGACCUACGGUUGAAAGCAGUGGAUCUUCGGACCUUUCGCGAUUGAAUGAGCCGAUGUCGGAUUAGCUAGUUGGCGGGGUAAAGGCCCACCAAGGCGACGAUCCGUAGCUGGUCUGAGAGGAUGAUCAGCCACACUGGAACUGAGACACGGUCCAGACUCCUACGGGAGGCAGCAGUGGGGAAUAUUGGACAACGGGCGAAAGCAUGAUACAGCCAUACCGCGUGGGUGAAGAAGGCCUUCGGGUUGUAAAGACCUUUUGUUGGGAAAGAAAAGCAGCAGGUUAAUACCCAGCUGUUCUGACGGUACCCAAAGAAUAAGCACCGGCUAACUUCGUG
rnacentral:rRNA from 1 species